GAACACGUGACAGAACUCUGGCUUCUGUGGGGUAUAUUCCUGUUGUUUUAUUCCAAAGUUUUAUGUGAACUUCAAUCCUGGUGGAGAUUUAAUAAAAUACCAGUACAUUAAGUUCUUCUAUUCUAACAACCAAAUGUAAGAAAAACUACCAUAGAGGGAUAUAGGACUUUUUUGUAUCUUCCUAGACUUUUAAAGCUAAUUUGAUUUUCAUUAUAAUGAUAUUUUAAUUAACAAUAUGCUAAAAACAAAAUCGACAGAAUUACUUUUUGUCCACACUGUUCAAUUCUCUUAUUGCUAAAAUACUGUAUUACAAAAUGAAUCCAGUGAACAUCUUCAAUUUCAAAAGGCCUGAGAGGUGAAUUCAACUUUUCUUUAAUCUAGGCUGAGGACAGCGAUGGUAACUUUGCAAAUUGAAGCUUUCCAUCCAGGAUAGAAAAAACGAGCAUCCAAAGUAGAGAGAACCACAAAACCACUUCUCUUGUUAUUCGAGCUAGUAGCUACUCAGAGCUUAAAGUUUCCGUCUUCAUUAUUAUUGGCGGUUCCAAAAGUCACAGUUUCGAUGUCAAACGUGACAGUAGAUCCAGAAGUAACUGCAGGCAACUGGUUGGUCAUUUCUUUUCCAUUUACAAAAACUGCACCAUUGGUACUGAUUCACACUGCCUGGUCCCGCUGCAGAGAGCCGCAUCCGCGCUGGUUCUCUGCACACACUCUGAUACUGCCUCUGCGGUCUGGCUGCCCCACAGUUUCAACCCUGAAUGUUAAUGUCUGCGCACAGAAAUAGGUCGGAGCUUUGGAGUAGAGAACACCCGAGGAUUCAGAAUCAUUCCGAAGAGCUAUGUUUCUUUGACUGCUCAGACUGUACUCCUCAAAGCCAGUUGUCCACUCAUGAGGCCCCAGUGUGGAGUGACCUAUCUGGGGGACGCUCCAAGGACUCCACUCCUGUCGCCCGUAUCCUCGAGCGUAGACUCUGAACUGAUAAUCAACAAACAUCGGGGUCUAUGUGUAGUACAAUGAAUUCAGUUUCAGAUCCUACGUAUUGGUCUUCAAAAUGAUUUGAAGUGCAUUUACGGAACUGAAGCCUGUAAUCUUGGGCUGCAAAGUCGUCGUCCACCUUACACCAUCGCACGAUGAUGCCCCCAGGCCUCUCUAUCAGCUCUUCUAUCUGUUCUGGUGAACGGAAUGCUACAGCCACAUGCUUAAAAAUGUGGUCUUUCACUAUGUUCAAAAUGGAAUCAUCCAACUGAGCAGAUAAGCAAGGCGCAUCAACCAGCACAGGCACUUCCGGGUCACAUGAUAGCAUCCUGUGAUGCCUGUGGGGUUAUAAAGCUAUGGGACUUUCGGAAGCUUUUACCAGUUGUGUCCAUUGAUGUAGGUCCAAGUCCUGGCGAUGAGGUGAAUUUUGAUUCAUCAGCCCUCCGUUCAACCCCUGGAGAAAUCCCAGCAAAGAAAACAAAAAGAACAAGAAAUUACUGAGGCAAUAAAGAAAAAAGAAAGCGAGAUUGAAAAGGUACCACAGAAGAAGUCCAUUGAUCCUGCCUUGUCAAUGCUGAUUACAUCUGUAAAAAACCAAAACAGAACAGUUUCAAGCAAGAAAAAAACAAAGAGUCAAAUAAGUGGAUAUUAUUUCUUUUUGCAUUGAUAAUGUAUUCUAAAGCAUACAGAAACAGUAGAGGAGAUACUGGGAAUAAAGUCACCUUUUCACAUAAAAAAAUCUUUUUCUGACCAUAGUAAGAUUCCUUUACAUGUAUACUUGUACUUAAUUGUGGCUGAUUGAUAGAGUUGUACUGUAUAUUUCCACAGAUCUAUCAUAGUUAAAUUACCUGAAUUACAAAAAAAAAAAAGAAGGAAAAAAGAUGUUCAUAGCUGAU
rnacentral:lncRNA from 1 species